rnacentral:rRNA from 1 species
GAGGAAGGUGGGGAUGACGUCAAAUCAUCAUGCCCUUUAUGACUUGGGCUACACACGUACUACAAUGGCGUUAAACAAAGAGAAGCAAGACCGCGAGGUGGAGCAAAACUCAGAAACAACGUCCCAGUUCGGACUGCAGGCUGCAACUCGCCUGCACGAAGUCGGAAUUGCUAGUAAUCGUGGAUCAGCAUGCCACGGUGAAUACGUUCCCGGGCCUUGUACACACCGCCCGUCACACCAUGAGAGCCGGGGGGACCCGAAGUCGGUAGUCUAACCGCAAGGAGGACGCCGCCGAAGGUAAAACUGGUGAUUGGGGUGAAGUCGUAACAAGGUAAAC